UACAGAGGGUGCAAGCGUUAAUCGGAAUUACUGGGCGUAAAGCGUGCGUAGUCGGUUAUCUAAGUCGGGUGUGAAAUCCCCGGGCUCAACCUGGGAAUUGCAUUCGAGACUGAAUAGCUAGGGUACGGUAGAGGGAAGUGGAAUUUCCGGUGUAGCGGUGAAAUGCGUAGAUAUCGGAAGGAACAUCAGUGGCGAAGGCGGGUUGCUGGGCUGACACUGACGCUGAUGCGCGAAAGCGUGGGGAGCAAACAGG
rnacentral:rRNA from 1 species